rnacentral:rRNA from 1 species
CCUACGGGAGGCUGCAGUGGGGAAUAUUGGACAAUGGGGGGAACCCUGAUCCAGCGACGCCGCGUGAGUGAAGAAGGAUCUCGGUAUGUAAAGCUCUAUCAGCAGGGAAGAAAGUAAUGACGGUACUUGAGGUAGAAGCCACGGCUAAAUACGUACCAGCAGCCGCGGUAAUACGUAGGUGGCAAGCGUUAUGCGGAUUUAUUGGGUGUAAAGGGCGUGUAGGCGGGAGCGCAAGUCAGAUGUGAAAAAUCAGGGCUCAACCCUGAGCCUGCAUUUGAAACUGGGAUUCUUGAGUGCUGGAGAGGGAAUCGGAAUUCGGGGUGUAGCGGUGAAAUGCGUAGAUAUAAGGAGGAACACCAGUGGCGAAGGCGGAUUGCUGGACAGUAACUGACGCUGAGGCGCGAAAGCGUGGGGAGCGAACAGGAUUAGAUACCCGUGUAGUC